rnacentral:piRNA from 1 species
UGUGAUUGAUGCCAUGAUGGAUGAGG